GUAGGGAGAGUUUUUUUUUUGUUAUUUUUAAUAUUUUAAUAAUUUAUUUGGACUAAUAUGUACUUUUUAAAAAGUUUGGAACUAUAGCUACAAUUUAUUUAUUUUUCUUUUCUUUUUUGUUUUACUUAAAUAGAAGGGCAUAUUGAUUAUUUUACGUUAAAAAUUGGUGAAAAGAACGUUCAGUGCAAAAAAAGGUGGAAGGUAAAGAUGAAAAUGCCAAGAAAUGAAAAGUAGGGGCGUUUUGUGCCAAUUGUCCUUUUAUAAUUCUUAGAACAAGAACUCAUUAGUAGUAAAUUCUAUUAAAGAGAUUUCGAAAGUUUGACGUUGAAGUGUACUAAGGGAAAAAUCAAGCCAAUAUUGUUUUUCUAUAUAGAUAUCGAUAAAUGUGUUUUAUGCGCUUUCUGAGUGUCUAAACUCAUAUGAUAUUGAUUUAUUGGGUGGAUUUCUACUCGAUAUUGUAUCUCAUUUGAUUCUCAUUCUUUGACCACAAAAAUAAAAAAUAUGACUGUUAUCCAUCACAUCAANNNNNNNNNNNNNNNNNUUUCAUAACGACUAUAUUUUUCAUUCUUAUUUUUAGAAAAAUGACAAUCAAACAGGGCCUGUGUAUAUGUUGUGUGUAGGUAAAAAUCCGACUUGAAGGUGAAUUGAUGACCCAGAAGAGGAUUUGGAGCUAAAUUGAUGCAAAAAAGGGAUAGGGUUGCAUCCAUAUUGAAAGCUUUUCAGAGUCGAUUGGAUGACUUUGUAAGUUUUGGAGACCAAAUUUGCCAUUUGGAGAGUUCGGAGACCAAAAAGUUGAAGAUAUCAAAGGUUGGAGGACAAAAUUUGAUGAAGCCGAAAGUUCUUGGGCCAACAUUUACACGUGAAAAAGGACUUAAAUUGAGACAGCUCAAAUUUGAGGAACCAAUUGAAAGAGCUUUAAGCUUGGGGGUCACAACGCGAAUACUUAAAAAUAGAGAACCUUGAGGUCACAUGAACGCUACAUGCUAACUCCAUUGGGGCUUGAACAAGAAAAAUAAAUUUUGCAGCUGAGUCUAGCCAGAUUCAAAAUUUGAUUAUUUAAACUUAAAUUCAAGGAUAGCUUGAGUACUCAUUAAAUUUUAGGCAUUGAAGGAUCAUAAAAGGGAAUAGAUCAAGAAAAGAAAGAAGACUUUUUGAAGGAGGAAAAUAUCGUUCAAGUUUAGGGUUGGUUUGAUUCAUGAUUUAUGACGGAGUUCUUGGCGCAAUAUUUCUUCUUCCAAUCUUCUUUACUUCAAGGAUCAAUCAAAACCCAAUUUUGUAUUUCAAUUUCAUUAGUCGUUUUCUUCUUUUAUUAUGAGCAACUACAAUAAUUUUUUUUUUCCUAUAAAGUUAUGAUUCUUGGUUGUAAACUAGAUACAUGUUUACUAACUUUACAGUCAUUAUUGACUUUUUUUAUUGAAUUUUCUUAAUUAAAGCUUACUUA
rnacentral:lncRNA from 1 species